AUUGAACGCUGGCGGCAGGCCUAACACAUGCAAGUCGAGCGCGAAAGUUCUUCGGAAUGAGUAAAGCGGCGGACGGGUGAGUAAUACAUGGGAAUCUGCCUGGUAGUGGGGGACAACGCUUCGAAAGGAACGCUAAUACCGCAUACGCCCUACGGGGGAAAGGGGGGGAUCUUCGGACCUCUCGCUAUCAGAUGAGCCCA
rnacentral:rRNA from 1 species